AGAUUUUUUAAAUUGCUGUGGUAUUUUGACUAUACGAAGGUAUUGAAAUAAGGCUUUAAUUGAGUGCUAAGUGAAUGGUUAAACAAGGAUUAACUUUCUUUAAAUUUAAAAUAAAAGUUAAUUUAAAAAUGAAAAAGUUUUUAUAUUUUUUUGGGACAAGAAGACCCUAUGAAUUUUUUUUUAUAAUUUUAUUUUAAAUUUAUAAAAAAGAAAAUGAGAUGAAAUUAUAAGUUAAUUGGGGUGAUUUUUAAAGAAUAAUUAUCUUUAAAAGAGGAAGGAAUUAGAACCAAAAUUUUUGGUAGUUUGAUUAAAAUACUCUAGGGAUAACAGCGUUAUUAUUUUGGAUAGUUCAUAUAGAUAAAAUAGUUUGCGACCUCGAUGUUGGAUUAAGAUACUUUUAUAAUGAAGUAGUUAUAUAAAGAAGUUUGCUCAACUUUUAAAUUCUUACUUGAUCUGAGUUAGACCGGACAGCCUUUUAAAAAUCUU
rnacentral:rRNA from 1 species